rnacentral:rRNA from 1 species
GAUGAACGCUGGCGGCGUGCCUAAUACAUGCGAGUCGAGCGAACAGACGAGGAGCUUGCUCCUCUGACGUUAGCGGCGGACGGGUGAGUAACACGUGGAUAACCUACCUAUAAGACUGGGAUAACUUCGGGAAACCGGAGCUAAUACCGGAUAAUAUAUUGAACCGCAUGGUUCAAUAGUGAAAGACGGUUUUGCUGUCACUUAUAGAUGGAUCCGCGCCGCAUUAGCUAGUUGGUAAGGUAACGGCUUACCAAGGCAACGAUGCGUAGCCGACCCGAGAGGGUGAUCGGCCACACUGGAACUGAGACACGGUCCAGACUCCUACGGGAGGCAGCAGUAGGGAAUCUUCCGCAAUGGGCGAAAGCUUGACGGAGCAACGCCGCGUGAGUGAUGAAGGUCUUCGGAUCGUAAAACUCUGUUAUUAGGGAAGAACAAAUGUGUAAGUAACUAUGCACGUCUUGACGGUACCUAAUCAGAAAGCCACGGCUAACUACGUG